UGAAGUUGGAUGAUUAGUUGUAUCAAUCAAGAAGGGUCAGUGCAUCCCAAGCCUCUCGAUGAUAUGACCUGAAUAUGCAGGUGAUGAAAUUUGAAUAAUGUUCCUAGGUCAACUCAAUAUAUUCAGGCGAACAAUAUUAGUGUAUUAGAAUUAUUAUUAUAUAUGUUUGGAUACAUUGUGAAAUUUAGCACAAUUGCCAGUACACCACUUUAAGAUACUCCUUUCAAUAUAUGUAGUACAACACAUCAUUUUUUAAGUUUUUUGUAAAUCUAUAUAUUGAAAUAUAAAUUAGUUAAUUUGAUGUUUGAGAUUAUUUA